rnacentral:snRNA from 1 species
GUGCUUUCAGCAGCACAUAUACUAAAAUUGGAAUGAUACAGAGAAGAUUAGCAUGGCCCCUGUGCAAGAUGACACACAAAUUUGUAAAGCAUUCCAUAUUUUU